rnacentral:rRNA from 1 species
GAUGAACGCUGGCGGCGUGCCUAAUACAUGCAAGUCGAGCGAACGGACGAGAAGCUUGCUUCUCUGAUGUUAGCGGCGGACGGGUGCGUAACACGUGGAUAACCUACCUAUAAGACUGGGAUAACUUCGGGAAACCGGAGCUAAUACCGGAUGAUAUUUUGAACCGCAUGGUUCAAAAGUGGAAGACGGUCUUGCUGUCACUUAUAGAUGGAUCCGCGCUGCAUUAGCUAGUUGGUAAGGUAACGGCUUACCAAGGCAACGAUGCAUAGCCGACCUGAGAGGGUGAUCGGCCACACUGGAACUGAGACACGGUCCAGACUCCUACGGGAGGCAGCAGUAGGGAAUCUUCCGUAAUGGGCGAAAGCCUGACGGAGCAACGCCGCGUGAGUGAUGAAGGUCUUCGGAUCGUAAAACUCUGUUAUUAGGGAAGAACAUAUGUGUAAGUAACUGUGCACAUCUUGACGGUACCUAAUCAGAAAGCCACGGCUAACUACGUG